UGGGGUGUAGCUCAGUGGCAGAGUGUGUACUUAGCGUGAACCAGGUGCUGGGUUCAAUUCCCAGUGCCUCCA
rnacentral:tRNA from 1 species